rnacentral:rRNA from 1 species
AAUGAACGCUGGCGGCAUGCCUUACACAUGCAAGUCGAACGGCAGCAUGACCUAGCUUGCUAGGUUGAUGGCGAGUGGCGCACGGGUGAGUAAUGCAUCGGAACGUGCCUUUUAGUGGGGGAUAACGUAGCGAAAGUUACGCUAAUACCGCAUAUUCUCUGAGGAGGAAAGCAGGGGGCCUUCGGGCCUUGCGCUAGAAGAGCGGCCGAUGUCGGAUUAGCUAGUUGGUGAGGUAAAGGCUCACCAAGGCAACGAUCCGUAGCGGGUCUGAGAGGAUGAUCCGCCACACUGGGACUGAGACACGGCCCAGACUCCUACGGGAGGCAGCAGUGGGGAAUUUUGGACAAUGGGCGCAAGCCUGAUCCAGCCAUGCCGCGUGAGUGAAGAAGGCCUUCGGGUUGUAAAGCUCUUUCGGCUGGGAAGAAAUCGCACUCUCUAAUACAGGGUGUGGAUGACGGUACCAGCAUAAGAAGCACCGGCUAACUACGUG